CACCCGGAACAAAAGUCUCCAGCCUUUUAUCCCGGUUCCAAAACCGGGAUAAAAGGCCGUUUUUUAGUAGUGCACCAUCCAAACUGUCGGCUAUUAUAAGCCAUGUAAAGCAUGGAUAUAUGCUUCUCAUAACUGUGGUGAGAUUGAUAAAUGGAAACCUUUUCAAGAGCAAUUUUAUCCAAAUAAUGAGUCAAUGGAUACAAACAGCACUCUGUCCAUGGUUAUAAGAACUUGGCGGAAAUUCACAAUUUUUUUUGUUCAUUGUCAACUGUUUAGAGCACACAUAUCAAUACUUAGCACUUUUCUGUGAUCAAAAUCUAUUUUAAGAGGUGCUAACAUCAGGUGCAUGGCAUAUCCCAAUAAAAGCCAGGAUCCAUGCAUCCAUAUUUUCACAGUACUAUUUUACUAACAUACAAAACAACAUGCUGUAGUGGUGCCUCAAAGCAUGAAUCCAAUAAUACUUCGGCAAUUAUUACUGCCAAUAUGUAAAUCUCUCCUACUUAAAAGAUACGGAGUGCUUCCAGGGCACUUCGCCGCUGGCGUUCCGCCACCCUCGCCCGCGCCCUGCUCCUCCUUCCCAUUCCGCCGCCUCCUCUCCCUCCCACCUCCCUGCGCUGACAGCGCCGCCCGCGCCCCUAGCGCUGCCUGCCACCCCCACCAGCGCGCCGCCUGCCGCCCCUCCCAGCACCGCCCGCCGCCCCACCAGCGCCAACCUCCUGUCGCACUGCCCACCCACCGAAAGCUCCUCGCGGAGAUGCUAAAGCAGUCGUCGUACUUCCUUGGCGUCUGCUUCCAGGUCCGCGCGGGCAAGCAAUCGACCGACCACCGCCGUCGUGCACUCCGACACUGUCCUCCCUAUCGAAGAACAUUAGGGUCAAGGAGCCGCAUCUUCUGGUGAACAAUCUCAAGGCACUCGCCUGCUCCAGUGAGGAGGCCUGGAAGAUGGUAGAGCCGAUGGAAAAAUUUCAGUUGGAUUUCGCAUGGUUUGAGCUCUCCGCACCGCAGACUCUGAUGAAUCAAAGGUGAGUUCAUAAUGUGGAAAGCUUUAGGAAGGAGAGAGAAUACAUGAUGGAGUCUGACAGACUGUCGGUGAGAAAAAGCACCAUGGAGACCACAUAAGAUCCAGGACAAAGGCCAGCAUGGAAACAAUAAAGAUGCUUUAUUGAAAUUUCACGAUAAAGGCAUGGGUGUGGUCAGCGACAUGCUCGGGAAGACAUUUUUCAGUUGCUGGUCUAGAUAUUUAUUUAGAAUCGUGCUCAUCAACAAUCUUAGAUGGCUGAGCACUGAGGAAGAAGUUUGUGAUCAAUUUUUUGGCGUUGGCUGGAAAUGCAUGUCGAAAAAUACUUCUCAAUAUGUUUAGAAAUAUCUGAGCUGCAUUGCAUGGAAAAAUAUUUGAAAGUGGGUUAUGUGGCAUUGGAUA